AUACGGAGGAUGCAAGCGUUAUCCGGAUUUAUUGGGUUUAAAGGGUGCGCAGGCGGCUUGUUAAGCGGGAGGUGAAAUGCCGGCGCUCAACGUCGGAAGUGCCUCCCGAACUGGUGAGCUUGAAUGACUCUGCCGUGGGAGGAAUGUGUAGUGUAGCGGUGAAAUGCUUAGAGAUUACACAGAACACCGAUUGCGAAGGCAUCUCACGAAGGGUUGAUUGACGCUGAGGCACGAAAGCGUGGGGAUCAAACAGGAUUAGAUACCCUGGUAGUCCACGCAGUAAACGAUGAUGGCUAACCGCUGGGUUAUUCGAUUCAGUGGCCAAGCGAAAGCGAUAAGCCAUCCACCUGGGGAGUACGACCGCAAGGUUGAAACUCAAAGGAAUUGACGGGG
rnacentral:rRNA from 1 species